rnacentral:rRNA from 1 species
GACGAACGCUGGCGGCGUGCUUAACACAUGCAAGUCGAACGGAAAGGCCCUGCUUUUGUGGGGUGCUCGAGUGGCGAACGGGUGAGUAACACGUGAGUAACCUGCCCUUGACUUUGGGAUAACUUCAGGAAACUGGGGCUAAUACCGGAUAGGAGCUCCUGCUGCAUGGUGGGGGUUGGAAAGUUUCGGCGGUUGGGGAUGGACUCGCGGCUUAUCAGCUUGUUGGUGGGGUAGUGGCUUACCAAGGCUUUGACGGGUAGCCGGCCUGAGAGGGUGACCGGCCACAUUGGGACUGAGAUACGGCCCAGACUCCUACGGGAGGCAGCAGUGGGGAAUAUUGCACAAUGGGCGGAAGCCUGAUGCAGCAACGCCGCGUGCGGGAUGACGGCCUUCGGGUUGUAAACCGCUUUCGCCUGUGACGAAGCGUGAGUGACGGUAAUGGGUAAAGAAGCACCGGCUAACUACGUGCCAGCAGCCGCGGUGAUACGUAGGGUGCGAGCGUUGUCCGGAUUUAUUGGGCGUAAAGGGCUCGUAGGUGGUUGAUCGCGUCGGAAGUGUAAUCUUGGGGCUUAACCCUGAGCGUGCUUUCGAUACGGGUUGACUUGAGGAAGGUAGGGGAGAAUGGAAUUCCUGGUGGAGCGGUGGAAUGCGCAGAUAUCAGGAGGAACACCAGUGGCGAAGGCGGUUCUCUGGGCCUUUCCUGACGCUGAGGAGCGAAAGCGUGGGGAGCGAACAGGCUUAGAUACCCUGGUAGUCCACGCUGUAAACGGUGGGUACUAGGUGUGGGGUCCAUUCCACGGGUUCCGUGCCGUAGCUAACGCUUUAAGUACCCCGCCUGGGGAGUACGGCCGCAAGGCUAAAACUCAAAGGAAUUGACGGGGCCCCGCACAAGCGGCGGAGCAUGCGGAUUAAUUCGAUGCAACGCGUAGAACCUUACCUGGGUUUGACAUGGAUCGGGAGCGCUCAGAGAUGGGUGUGCCUCUUUUGGGGUCGGUUCACAGGUGGUGCAUGGCUGUCGCCAGCUCGUGUCGUGAGAUGUUGGGUUAAGUCCCGCAACGAGCGCAACCCUUGUUCACUGUUGCCAGCACGUUAUGGUGGGGACUCAGUGGAGACCGCCGGGGUCAACUCGGAGGAAGGUGGGGAUGACGUCAAGUCAUCAUGCCCCUUAUGUCCAGGGCUUCACGCAUGCUACAAUGGCUGGUACAGAGAGUGGCGAGCCUGUGAGGGUGAGCGAAUCUCGGAAAGCCGGUCUCAGUUCGGAUUGGGGUCUGCAACUCGACCUCAUGAAGUCGGAGUCGCUAGUAAUCGCAGAUCAGCAACGCUGCGGCGAAUACGUUCCCGGGGCU